GAUGAACGCUGGCGGCGUGCCUAAUACAUGCAAGUCGAGCGAACAGACGAGGAGCUUGCUCCUCUGACGUUAGCGGCGGACGGGUGAGUAACACGUGGAUAACCUACCUAUAAGACUGGGAUAACUUCGGGAAACCGGAGCUAAUACCGGAUAACAUGUUGAACCGCAUGGUUCAACAGUGAAAGACGGUCUUGCUGUCACUUAUAGAUGGAUCCGCGCCGCAUUAGCUAGUUGGUAAGGUAACGGCUUACCAAGGCAACGAUGCGUAGCCGACCUGAGAGGGUGAUCGGCCACACUGGAACUGAGACACGGUCCAGACUCCUACGGGAGGCAGCAGUAGGGAAUCUUCCGCAAUGGGCGAAAGCCUGACGGAGCAACGCCGAGUGAGUGAAGAAGGUCUUCGGAUCGUAAAACUCUGUUAUUAGGGAAGAACAAAUGUGUAAGUAACGAUGCACGUCUUGACGGUACCGAAUCAGAAAGCCACGGCUAACUACGUG
rnacentral:rRNA from 1 species